UACGGGGGGGGCAAGCGUUGUUCGGAAUUACUGGGCGUAAAGGGCUCGUAGGUGGCCAACUAAGUCGGACGUGAAAUCCCUCGGCUUAACCGGGGAACUGCAUCCGAUACUGGAUGGCUUGAGUUCGGGAGAGGGAUGCGGAAUUCCAGGUGUAGCGGUGAAAUGCGUAGAUAUCUGGAGGAACACCGGUGGCGAAGGCGGCAUCCUGGACCGACAC
rnacentral:rRNA from 1 species